GCCCGGGUGGUGGAAUGGUAGACACAGCGGACUUAAACUCCGCAGGCCUUAAAAGCCGUGCGAGUUCGACUCUCGCCCCGGGCACCA
rnacentral:tRNA from 1 species